rnacentral:rRNA from 1 species
GAUGAACGCUAGCGGCAGGCCUAAUACAUGCAAGUCGGACGGGAUUCAGGAGCUUGCUUCUGAUGAGAGUGGCGCACGGGUGCGUAACACGUAUGUAACCUACCUUUAUCAGGGGGAUAGCCUCUCGAAAGAGAGAUUAAGCCCGCAUAAAAUCACAGCACAGCAUUGUGUAAUGAUCAAAUAUUUAUAGGAUAAAAAUGGGCAUGCGGAACAUUAGCUAGAUGGCGGGGUAACGGCCCACCAUGGCGACGAUGUUUAGGGGAUCUGAGAGGAUGGCCCCCCACACUGGUACUGAGACACGGACCAGACUCCUACGGGAGGCAGCAGUAAGGAAUAUUGGUCAAUGGGCGGAAGCCUGAACCAGCCAUGCCGCGUGCAGGAAGACGGCCCUACGGGUUGUAAACUGCUUUUAUACGGGAAUAAACCCAGAUACGUGUAUCUGGCUGAAUGUACUGUAAGAAUAAGGAUCGGCUAACUCCGUG